AUUGAACGCUGGCGGCAGGCCUAACACAUGCAAGUCGAGCGAGCGGCGGACGGGUGAGUAAUGCCAAGGAAUCUGCCUGGUAGUGGGGGAUAACGUCCGGAAACGGUAGCUAAUACCGCAUACCAUCGGAUGUGCCCAGAUGGGAAUAGCUAGUAGGGUGGGUAAAGGAUCACCUAGGCGACGGUCCCUAGCUGGUCUGAGAGGAUGACCAGCCACACUGGAACUGAUACACGGUCCAGACUCCGACGGGAGGCAGCAGUGGGGAAUAUUGCACAAUGGGCGCAAGCCUGAUGCAGCCAUGCCGCGUGUAUGAAGAAGGCCUUCGGGUUGUAAAGUACGUUCAGCGGGGAGGCGUUACCCGCAGAAGAAGCACCGGCUAACUCCGUGCCAGCAGCCGCGGUAAUUC
rnacentral:rRNA from 1 species